ACUCUUACGGGGGGCAGCAGUGGGGAAUAUUGCACAAUGGGCGCAAGCCUGAUGCAGCCAUGCCGCGUGUAUGAAGAAGGCCUUCGGGUUGUAAAGUACUUUCAGCAGUGAGGAAGGGGUGUAUGUUGAUAACGUGCAUCUUUGACGUUAGCUGCAGAAGAAGCACCGGCUAACUCCGUGCCAGCAGCCGCGGUAA
rnacentral:rRNA from 1 species